rnacentral:lncRNA from 1 species
GUGGAGUCAAAUAUGAAGUAUGGUAGAUUGGAGUAAAAGAAUGGAGAAUGGAAGCACAGAGGAUGCCGUAUGGAGGAUUGAGUUCAAAUAUGGAGUCAGAAGAACUUAAGACUCCUUAAGGGGGUAGAUUCCAGUUCAUAUGGAAUCAAUUUUUGGAAGAAAGCAUGCGAGUAAGUAUUCACUUACUUGGAGGAUCCCCAGGAGUAGAGUUUUAUAGAUGAAGAUGGACCUGUCGUCUGUAG